AGUGACCUUGGGCCUGAAAGAGUGUCAUUCCUCAGUCACUGAGGAAAGGGGACAGCCUGCAGGGCUGGACAGAGCUGGGGCAGGAAGGCGCUGGCUCAACAUGGACGGGAUCAAUGACAGCUUUAACAGACUGGGAGCCCCAAGAGGUUAGAAGUUGGCUGGGACUGCCCAAGGUAGGUGGUUGUCCAGAGCCCAAGGAGACCAGCCACAAGUCCAGCUGCCACGAGGGACCUGCUGGAUCUGUCACUCGUUUUCCGCCACGAGGUACCCUUACCAGUUCAGUGCUCCUCCCUUGCCGCUUGUUCCCCAUGUGGGCCCAGAGCCACCUGUUACAGAACCAUCAGAGAAAGAAGGAGAGAAAAUGAGAGAAUGGGCGCGCCAGGGC